GCGGUAAUUCCAGCUCCAAUAGCGUAUAUUAACAGUUGUUGUGGUUAAAUAGCUCGUAGUUGAACCUUGGGCCUGGCUGGCCGGUCCGCCUCACCGCGUGUACUGGUCCGGCCGGGCCUUUCCCUCUGUGGAACCCCUUGCCCUUCACUGGGUGUGGCGGGGAAACAGGACUUUUACUGUGAAAAAAUUAGAGUGCUCCAGGCAGGCCUAUGCUCGAAUACAUUAGCAUGGAAUAAUAGAAUAGGACGUGUGGUUCUAUUUUGUUGGUUUCUAGGACAGCCGUAAUGAUUAAUAGGGACAAUCGGGGGCAUCAGUAUUCAAUUGUCACAGGUGAAAUUCUUGGAUUUAUUGAAGACUAACUACUGCGAAAGCAUUUGCGCCGGAUGUUUUCAUUAAUCAGGAACGAAAGUUAGGGGAUCGAAGACGAUCAGAUACCGUCGAGUCUUAACCAUAAACUAUGGCGACUAGGGAUCGGACGGUGUUAUAUUCUGACCCGUUCGGCACCUUACGAGAAAUCGAAGUGCUUGGGCUC
rnacentral:rRNA from 1 species